GACGAACGCUGGCGGCGUGCUUAACACAUGCAAGUCGAACGAUGAAGCCUAGCCUGCUAGGUGGAUUAGUGGCGAACGGGUGAGUAAUACGUGAGUAACCUACCUUUAACUCUGGGAUAAGCCUGGGAAACUGGGUCUAAUACCGGAUACGACCAAUCUCCGCAUGGGGUGUUGGUGGAAAGCGUUAUGUAGUGGUUAUAGAUGGGCUCACGGCCUAUCAGCUUGUUGGUGAGGUAACGGCUCACCAAGGCGACGACGGGUAGCCGGCCUGAGAGGGUGACCGGCCACACUGGGACUGAGACACGGCCCAGACUCCUACGGGAGGCAGCAGUGGGGAAUAUUGCACAAUGGGCGCAAGCCUGAUGCAGCGACGCCGCGUGAGGGAUGACGGCCUUCGGGUUGUAAACCUCUGUUAGCAGGGAAGAAGAGAAAUUGACGGUACCUGCAGAGAAAGCGCG
rnacentral:rRNA from 1 species